AACGCACGAGACCUGCGGACCUGCGGAGGGAUCAUUAACGAGACCAGCGUACCCGCGUGUCGCCGGGCCGGUGACCAUGGCAACUCCAUGGGCACCGGGCGGGGGGCACGGGGGGCACUGGAUCCCACCCAUGUCUACCUGAGAACGUUGCCUCGGCGGGCCCACGCCGGUAGGUCUUCCACCUGUUAGGCUGGCGCCCGCCGAAGGGCCCCAAAACCUUUAACUAUCUAUGAACGUCUG
rnacentral:misc_RNA from 1 species